CCCAACUAACUUUAUUCAUACGAAAAGUGUGACAGCAAAAAUUAAAAAUAUCACACACUAACACACACAUGCAACCACACCCACACCCUACAUCAGAUUUCUAACCGAAAAAUUCGUCAGAAUACAAUUCCCCUGAUCCCCCUCCCCCACCACUUUACUUUUACAAGCCCCCAUCCUGAUCCUAUAUAAAUCCAAUCCUUGAAGCUUCAUACUAAUAUACUCUACACGCAAAGCAAAUUAAAACGCUAGAUUUCGAUUAUGUUGCAGCAGGUGGAAGCUUCCAAAGGGAUCGCAUUGAUCCGUUUUAUAAUUAUUAACUCAAUCUUUCUUAUUCGUAUCAUGAUAUAUAUAUAUAUAUAUAUAUAUAUAUAUAUAUAUAUAUAUAUAUAUAUAUAUAUAUAUAUAUAUAUAUAUAUAUAUAUAUAUAUAUAUAUAUAUCCCAUCCAUUGGAAGCAGUUUAAAGAUUUCGAUCCGAGUUUAUAAUUUGGAUCAUGCGAUCUCUUUGGAAGUUUCCGUCCGUGCAUGGUGUUUCAUGUUUCUCCUUCUUCCUACCUUCAAUUUGAUUCAAAGGUCAUCAUCGUUCCUCUCUCUCUCUCUAAAAAAAAUGUAAUACGUACAGGUUCGUUUUUCGUAGCUAUGAUUUACUUUUGAACAUGUUUGAUUGGAAAAAUUAUAUUCUGCAAAUAAAAAAAGUGAUCGAAAUUACGCUUAUAUAGAUCCAUUUUGCAUGAGCAAUUAAAUCAUAUUUUGCAGGCCGACCAACUGAUGCAGUUUUGAAACCCGAGAAACAUAAGAAAGCAUUCAUCAUAUAUAUAUGAAUGAAAAUAAAUAAAUACAUUUUAAAUUAUUUUUUAUUUUUUUUUACGUUUGUUCUGCUAAUGAAUUGUAAUUUACACGACCCGAAGGUAGAGAAUUUCAUGUUAUGAUGGUGCAGUUUUCUCGCACAUUUGAUGAUUAUUCCAUUCUAUCUGCUAAUUGACGUAUACAUUCAUGAUCGAUGCAUAUAUGAUCUGAUGAUAGGAACUUGAUUGUGUUUUUGCAACUUUUCUGCUCUUUGCAAAUUGCAAACGAUAUGUGCUUUCAAUUCCUUCCUAAAUUCCAGGUACCAGUGAGGAUCGCGGGAAGGCACCGGCUUGAUCAGUAUACACACAUGAGGAGUUUUAUUUGUUAUGAUCUUGGGAUGUGAUGUUAUGGAUUUUUAUGUGAUACAAUGACAUUUUAUAAAAAUUAUUAAUGAAAGCGUGUUUUUUAAAAUGUGAAAAAUUGUUUUGAAAUUUACGUCGUUACAAGUUGGUAUUAGAGUCUUGGUUUGAGGGAUUCGGGUGCAACUUCGGAUGUAUCUGAACUCAAACUGAGGAUUUGAGAAAGUUUUUCAUAAAUAAACAUUUUUUCUAAGAGAGUAAAAGAUUUUGGAAAAAGGCAGAACGGAGCAGUGUGUACGAUCAGUCAGCGCCCGAACGGUGAUUUCCCAAAAUAUCUUUACAUUAUGUGUUAUGAGAUAUGUUAUGAUAUGAUAUGCAUGCUAGAGUAGGCUAGGUAUUCAUAUUAGGACUAGAGUGGCCUGAUUUGUGAUGCCUUAGCCUAGGAAGAUUUCUGCUGCUUGAGAGUAAGUAGAUAACAGUGAGGAGCUUAUGAGAGAUCUGCCGAAGGGUAGUCUAUGAUAGCGAGGUGUAGAGUACUUGUGAUCUGGGAUCCAAGGAGGAGGACUUGGGGUGAAUACUGAUGCAGUGUGGGCGGUAGUAUAAGGGCCCGUACUACCAAAGACACCGUAUCAGUGCGCAGUCCAAGUAAGAAUCCUUAGGGUACUAGGGAAAAAGUAAGGAUGUCUAAUCGAGUGCAAGUAUGAUCGAGCGGGUCUCUGAUAUUCUAUGUUGUAUUUCAGAGAGACAUCACGGUUGGGACACGCCACACACCGGAGAGCAGUGGUGUUAGCAAGGAGGAGAUCCGCAGACUGAUUCAUGAGGAGGUGGCUGCUGCCAUCUGAGCUGAGGUUCCAGAGAUGUUUGGAUCUAUCAAGACCACAUUGAUUGAGACUUUCGAUGAGCGGUACGCAGCAGUGACUGAGGCUGCGGUUGCUGCAGCUACUGUCGUCGUUGCUGCUGCCAGGCCUCAGGGAGGUGACUCGUUGUUGUUUCGGGAGUUCAGCAACACGAAGCCACCAGAGUUUGAUGGGACAUAGGAUCCGAUCGCUGCGAUGAGAUGGAUUUUUGAUAUCGAGGGAUGCUUCUACACUUGUUCAUGUCCGGAGCAUCUAAGAGUACGGUUCGCACUAAACCAGCUUCGCUUGAGAGCGAAGGACUGGUGGAAGUUCAUGACGGCGAUCUUCACUCUUGCGAAGAUUUCUGAGGUGACCUGGGAGAGGUUCACCACCAUGUUCAGAGAUGAGUAUGUUCCCCCUGUGGAGAGGGAGCGGUUGGCUUAGGAGUUCUUGACCCUCAACCAGGAUACUGAUUCAGUUACUGUGAUUACCAGGAAGUUUCAUGAGAGGGCGAUGUUUUGCCCUGAGCAGGUGUCUACCGAGCAAGCACGCAUGAGCCGAUAUUUGAGCAUUCUGAGGAGGGAUAUUCGGGAGUUUGUAUCGAACUCGACUUAUUGGACAUUUGCUGAGCUUCAGGAAAAUGCCCGGAAGAGGGAGAUUGAGUUGGAGACAUAGGCCGGGGAAGAGGCCGAGUCUCAGGGGGUGGAUAGGCGGCCGACACAGUCGCAACCGGCAACCAAGCACGCAAAGCCCGCCGAUUCGAGAUCUGGAGGCCAGAAGGGCCGCACUUGCGGAAAGUGCGACAAAGGACACGAUGGGGUUUGUCGAUCUGGUGCUUGCUACAAAUGUGGCAAGGAGGGGCAUAUAGCCAAGAACUGCCCCAAGGGAUUCAUGGUUUGCUUCCAUUGCGACCAAACGGGCCAUAGGAAGGCCGAGUGCCCGCAGCUGCGAGGAACAGCACAGGGAGCACAACAGGGAUAUGCCCCUGCCGCCGUGCGUGCUGCUGAGGUUCCGCCGGUGAAGGCCGAGGCACCGAAGGCUCGCGGGAGAGCCUUCCAGUUGACAGCGGAGGAGGUCCAUGCAGCGCCUGAUGUCGUGGCUGGUACUUUUCUUGUGAAUUUUGUACCUGCUUUAGUGUUAUUUGACUCAGGUGCGAGUCGGUCAUUUGUUUCCUUGGCAUUUAGUCAGCACAUCAGUAUCCGAUGAGAGGCGUUGAGUCGACCUCUGCGAGUUUCUAUAGCUAACGAGCAAGCGGUGUAUGCUACGGAUGUGAUUCGAGGAUGUAUACUUGAGAUCUUCGGUGUGGAGUUCCCGAUAGAUCUGGUCCCGAUUGCGAUGGGGGACAUAUGUGUCAUACUGGGCAUGGAUUGGUUGAGCCGAUUUGGAGCUGUUAUAGACUGCGAGCGUCAGUUGGUGACGAUACGAGACCCUAGUGGGGGAGUACUUACGGUGUACGGUGAGGGUACCCGAUGUGGGUCAGCGUUUUGUUCGGCUGCCAGAGCGAGACAGAGUUUGCAGCAGGGCUGCAGCGGGUUCGUAGUUUAUGUGAUGGACACACGAGUGGCCGCUGAGAGGCCAAGUUUGAUUGAUGAGGUUCCGAUAGUGUGCGAGUUCCCAGAUGUUUUUCCCGAGGAAUUGCCGGGUGUGCCUCCCGAGAGGCAAGUAGUGUUCCGUAUCGAUUUGGUUCCGGGGGCAGCACCUAUCGCCAAGGCGCCAUAUCGCCUUGCGCCACCAGAGAUGCAUGAGUUAUCCUCGUAGCUUCAGGAGCUGCUGGGGAAAGGGUUUAUUAGACCGAGUAGCUCACCUUUGGGAGCGCCAAUCCUUUUUGUCAAGAAAAAGGAUGGUUCACACCGGUUGUGCAUUGAUUACCGUGAGUUGAACAAGUUGACGGUCAAGAACCGUUAUCCGUUACCGAGGAUCGACGAUCUGUUUGAUCAGUUGCAGGGGGCGGCUUGGUUCUCCAAGAUAGACUUGAGGUCGGGAUAUCAUCGGAUGAGGGUUCGAGGUGAUGAUAUCCAGAAGACGGCGUUCAGAACUCGUUAUGGGCAUUACGAGUUCGUUGUGAUGCCUUUUGGGCUCACCAAUGCAUCGGCAACGUUCAUGGAUCUCAUGAACAAGGUGUGCAGGCCGAUGCUGGAUCGGUCGGUGAUCGUGUUCAUUGAUGAUAUUUUGGUCUAUUCGAGAUCUAGAGAGCAGCACGAGGAGCAUCUGAGAGAGUUUCUCGGGAUAUUGAGAUCGGAGAGGCUUUUCUCCAAAUUCACCAAGUGUGAUCUUUGGUUAUGAGAGGUCUAGUUCUUGGGACACCUCGUUAACUAGGAUGGGAUAUUGGUCGAUCCGGCCAAGAUUGAGGCGGUUAUGAGAUGGGAGGUGCCGAGAUCACCCACCGAGAUUAGAGGUUUUCUAGGGUUGGCCGGCUAUUAUCGGAGAUGUAUCAGGGAUUUCUCCAAGAUUGUCGUGCCUCUCACCAGAUUGACCCGAAAGGGUGUUGCUUUUUCAUGGGGUCCGGAGCAGCAGACCUCGUUUGAGACACUUCGCUAGAGAUUGUGCGAAGCCCCGGUGCUAGCCCUCCCGGAAGGGAUGGAGGAUUUUGUGGUGUAUUGUGACGCGUCGAUAUCGGGGUUGGGUGUAGUACUUAUGCAAAGGGGGUAUGUGAUAGCAUAUGCAUCAAGGCAGUUGAAGCCUCAUGAGGCGAGGUAUUCCACCCAUGAUUUGGAGUUGGGGGCAAUGGUGUUCGCCCUUAAGAUCUGGCGUCACUAUUUGUAUGGGGUUCGGUGUACCAUCUACACGGACCAUAAGAGUUUGAAGUAUUUGAUGGACCAGCCCAAUCUGAAUAUGCGCCAGAGGAUAUGGCUAGAUGUGGUAAAGGAUUACGAUUGUGAGAUCCUGUACCACCCGGGCAAGGCUAAUGUCGUAGCUGAUGCCCUGAUUCGUAGGGCGGGGAGCGCCCCGAUUUGAGAUAUUUGCAUGCGGAUGACAGUGAUGACUCCGGUGUUGGACACCAUUCGGGAGGCCCAGGUAGUGGCUGUGAGACCGGAGAACCGGAAGAGGGAGCGAGUGAUCGGGCAUGUGUCGAAGUUCAUUACCGAUAGUCGUGGGCUGAUGACCCUUCAGGGUCGGAUUUGGGUGCCGUAUGCAGGCGGAGCGCGCACCACCUUAAUGGAGGAGGAUAAAUCGAGAUUUUCGAUCCAUCCCGGGGCCACUAAGAUGUAUUUGGAUUUGAAGAAGGAUUAUUGGUGGCCAUGUAUGAAGAUGGAUGUAGCAUGGUUUGUUGAGAGGUGCUUAACUUUUCGCAAGGUUAAGGCCAAGCACCAGCGACCACAUGGCCUUUUGCAGCCACUUGAGGUUCCCCAAUGGAAGUGGGAACAGAUUUCUAUGGAUUUCAUCACCAAGUUGUCGAGGACCACAAGGGGUGUUGACGCAAUUUGGGUGAUCGUCGACCGACUGAUGAAGAGCGCUCACUUCCUUGCUACCAGUGAGAGCUUUUCUGCUGAGAGGCUGGCAGAGUUGUAUGUGAGAGAGGUGGUAUCGCGGCAUGGAGUGCCGAUCUCGAUUAUAUCAGAUCGGGAUGUACGUUUUACUUCCAGGUUCUGGAAGAAGUUCUACGAGGAGUUGGGCAUGAGACUGCAUUUCAGUACCGCUUACCACCUACAGACGGAUGGACAGAGUGAGCGGACGAUUCAGACACUCGAAGACAUGCUUCAGGCAUGUGUGUUGGACUUCGGAGGAAAUGUAUAGCUAACGAGUCGGCAGUGGUACCGUUGGAGGAUAUCCAGGUGGACGCGAGUCUGAAUUAUGUUGAGAGGCCUAUCGCAAUCUUGGAUCAGAAGAUCAAGGUUCUGAGGAACAAGGAGGUGCCCCUGGUUGAGGUCCGGUGGCAGCAUCGGAGGGGGUCCGAGCUGACUUGGGAGCCGGAGUCGGAGAUGAGGGAGCAGCAUCCGGAGUUGUUUUCAGCAUGAGACUUCGAGGGCGAAGUCUGGUUCUAGUGGGGGAGAAUUGUAACAUCCCGAAAUUCAUGUAAAGCUAUUUAACCCUUCUCGUUUUCCCAAGUUGUCAAGUUAAGUCAUUUAAGUAAAUGUUAGGCUUGUGAGUACGUUGGGUGUACUGAGGAGUACGUUGCACGUACUCGCGUGCUUAUUUUGGAUACGGACUCGCCUAGGUACGUGGGCGUACCCAGGGUUACGCUGGGCGUAUCGAGCCCAGGUGAAAACCUUAAUUUGGGGCUUGUGCACUAUAAAAGGAAUUCUAUGGCCUUUACCUCAUCCUCCAUUCCAGAGAGUGAAACCCUAAAAGAGUGCCCUCCUUCGUUUCUAGCUAGAGUGUUGGUAUUCUAAGCUUCUAAGUGUCAUUUCAAGGUGAUGGAAGAGAAGAAGAGGCUAUUUUGGAGGCUAGAAGCUUGUGGGAAAGAAUAGAUCUGAGCUUUUCAGAGGUUGGAGCUUCUUCCUGAGGUAAAAAACUCAAAUCUUGUCUGGUUAUUUGUGUUGUGUGCUUCUUAGACCAAUUUCUAGGGUUUUUGGUCCCAAGAUGGAGACUUUAUGAGCAAAUGGUCUCCAUUGGCCUAGAUCUAUCAUAUUUCAGGACUAUAAGUGUUGUGUGUUCAUAAAAAUGCAAUCUUGGACGUAAAUAUGGAGCCAUGCAUGAGAUCUAAACCUUUGGAGGGAAAAAGGAAAGGUGUUAGAGGGUGUAGGGACCUUUACAGCCAUGCAAAGGCUUAAAGGUUCCGACUUUAUGGAAUAAGAGGUUGUAAGAGAGUCAUAUCUGGAAGUUGAAGGAGUGUCUUAACCGUUUAAGACCAAAAUCUAAGAAAUGGCUGAAUUGGGACUUACGCUUAGCGUAACUCUCAGUACGCGCAACGUAAGGGGUUGAGGCCCCGAUUGUGGUUCGUUGGCGUAGGCCCCGAUCGGAAGGUCUACCGGGAUUCGAGACGGAAGUCCCCUGAGACACUUGGACCGGAAGGUUCCACAGAGUUAUGGCCUGGAAAGGCGUAUGUGUUGUAUGUGGUAUUUUGGGGAACUCACUAAACAUUUAUGCUUACAGUGUUGUGUGAUGUGUUUCAGGUACCAGUGAGGAUCGCGGGAAGGCGCCGGCUUGAUCAGUACACACACAUGAGGAGUUUUAUAUGUUAUGAUCUUGGGAUGUGAUGUUAUGGAUUGUUAUGUGAUACAAUGACAUUUUAUAACAAUUAUGAAUGAAAGCGUGUUUUAAAAAUGUGAAAAAUUGUUUUGAAAUUUACGUCGUUACAUUAGACAACCAAUAGCCCUAGAAUAUUCAAGUUGAGACACUGGAGAUCCUUUAUUUAGUAAAAGCUUGAGACUAGGAUCUAUAGGUGUGCUAACAGGAGAACAAUUCUCAAAGUCAAACUUUUUCAAUAUCUUCUCAAUGUAAUGAGAUUAAGAAAUUGAAAUCCCAUUAUUUCCUUGUUUAAUUCUUAUACCAAGAAUUACCUUAGCCUCCCCCAGGUCUUUCAUUUCAAAACUGGAUGAUAAGAAUUUCUUGGUUUUAUUAACUUCUUCUAAAUCAGUACCAAAAACUAACAUAUCAUCCACAUAUAAACAAAUCAUGACUCUUUUACCAAAAGUAUCAAAUUUGCUAUAUACACACUUGUCAACUUGGUUUAAUGCAAAACCAUUAGACAAGACAACAUCAUCAAACUUUUGAUGCCAUUGUUUUGGUGCUUGUUUCAAACCAUAUAAUGAUUUCUUCAACUUGCACACUUUGUGUUCAUUUCCAGGCAUCACGAACCCUUCAGGUUGUUUCAUGUAUAUUUCCUCAUCCAAGUCACCAUUCAAGAAUGCAUUUUUCACAUCCAUUUGGUGAAUCACGAGAUUAUGUAUAGUUGCAAGAGCUAAUAAUAAUCUAAUAGUAGAAAUUCUGGCAACAGGAGCAUAAGUAUCAAAGAAAUCAAUGCCUUCCUUUUGUCUAAAGCCUUGGAUAACCAAUCCGGCUUUAUAUUUAUCAAUUGUGCCAUCCACCUUCAUUUUCCUUUUGAGGAUCCAUUUACAUCCUAAUGCCUUGCAACCAGGAGGUAAAUCAGCCAAUACCCAGGUAUUGUUAUGCAUAAUAGAAUCAAUCUCAUCAUGAAUUGCCUCUUUCCAGAAAUGAACAUCCCUAGAAGCGAUAGCUUCACUGAAAGUCUUUGGAUCCUCUUCAAUAUUAAAACAAUAUUGAUGUUGAGAAAUAGUUUCAUUCGUUAUUCCUUUAACUAAAUAUAGUUGAAAAUCAGAUCCAACAGAUUUAGCUUUUCUAGCUCUGGUGCUUUUCCAGUUCAGGUACAGAACUUGCACCACCAGAAACAUCUUCAGCUUGAGUAGUACUUUUGCUGGAAGAUUGAUGAAUCAUGUCCCUUGGUCUAGGUAUAGAUAUAAAUCUUUCUUCAUCAAAGAUAGCAUCUCGUGACUCUAUCACUGUGUUUACAGACAUAGAGUCAUUAGAUUCUAAAACAUAGAAUCUAUAUGCUUUGGAAUGCUCAGCAUAUCCAAUAAAGAUAUAAUCUAUACCUCUCUCACCCAAUGUUUUCCUUUUGGGUUCAGUGAGCCUUACAACUGCUCUACAACCCCAAACUUUGAGAUAACUCAAAUUUGGUACCUUUUUACACCAAAGUUCAUAAGGAGUACUCUUACUCCUUUUAUUUGGAGUGUAUUCAAGAUGUAACAUGCAGUUAACAUUGUCUCACCCCAAAACCCUUCACUUAAACUAGAAUAUGACAACAUGGAAUUAACCAUUUCUUUCAAAGUCCUAUUCUUCCUUUCAGCUACACCAUUUUGUUGUGGUGUAUAUAGAGAUGUGGUUUGAUGUAUUAUUACAGUUGAUUCAAAAUAAACUGGAUCAUAAUACUCACCGCCUCUAUCAGUACGCAAUACUUUUAUUAAUUCAUUUUCAUCAAGCUCAACUUGUUGUUUAUAAAUUUUAAAUUUAUCAAGUGUUUCAGCCUUAGAAUGUAGCAAAUAGAUAUAACAAUAUUUAGAUGCAUCAUUGAUAGCUUAUUUUAUUUCCUUAUUUUUAUUAGUUUAUUUUAGAUUUUUAGAUCUUUUUAUCAUUAAUGCAUUGUAAUUUAUUUAUUUUUCUUUAGUAUGGAUCAUACCGGGUGCUUAUUAUGUUGCAUGAGAUAUUUUAUAGGUUUUUUCGGUGCUUGUUGCGGUGGCGGGUUGAUUGGAGACGAGCUUAGUGGGAUCCCGAGACAUUAUUGGGCUUGGCGGAAUCAAAAAGGAAGAAUUGGGCUUUGAAAGUUAUUGGCUUGGAUUAUUUGGGCUUGUGAAGAUGGAUCAUAAAAUUCAAAUUUUGGGCUUGGAGCAUCCAUUUGGUGGCUAAAUGAUGAUUGGUGCAUUUCAAAUCACAUGGACAAGGAGGGGGACCAAAGGAAUCUUUGGUAGUGGAAGGGUGGAGUGGCUUGGUGGACCAAUAGCAUUACAGCAACAUUUGCGCGGGUAAAAUUUUCGUCGCGCGGGUGCCUGCGCAACUGCCCAGUUUGGGCAUUUUGGUCAUUUUUCUUGCCAUAACCCUUGGGGAUCAGAUCUAGAGGCGGAAUUCACGUUUUUCCACCAUUGGAGACCUGCGAGAAGCUAAUUCACGAUUUUCCACCAUUGGAGACCUGCAAGAGGCGAAUUUGGGAGCUAGAAAUCAUUUCCUUUCAUCUUUCCAAAUCUUAGGUAGUUUCUUUAUGCAAUUAGAUUAUUGUUCUUGUUACUUUGUUGCCAUGAGUGGCUAAUACUCUUAUUUGGUUGACUUUGGCUGAAAACCAAUGAAUGUUUGUGGGUUUUGAAGGAUUUAUGUUGAUUAUCAAUUUAUUCCAUGUUUAUGAUUCUAGUUUACAA